rnacentral:rRNA from 1 species
UGAGGAAUAUUGGUCAAUGGGCGAGAGCCUGAACCAGCCAAGUAGCGUGAAGGAUGACUGCCCUAUGGGUUGUAAACUUCUUUUAUAAAGGAAUAAAGUCGGGUAUGCAUACCCCGUUUGCAUGUACUUUAUGAAUAAGGAUCGGCUAACUCCGUGCC